rnacentral:rRNA from 1 species
AACGAACGCUGGCGGCAUGCCUAACACAUGCAAGUCGAACGAUCCCUUCGGGGAUAGUGGCGCACGGGUGCGUAACGCGUGGGAACCUGCCCUUAGGUUCGGAAUAACUCAGAGAAAUUUGAGCUAAUACCGGAUAAUGUCUUCGGACCAAAGAUUUAUCGCCUUUGGAUGGGCCCGCGCUGGAUUAGCUAGUUGGUGGGGUAAAGGCCUACCAAGGCGACGAUCCAUAGCUGGUCUGAGAGGAUGAUCAGCCACACUGGGACUGAGACACGGCCCAGACUCCUACGGGAGGCAGCAGUGGGGAAUAUUGGACAAUGGGCGAAAGCCUGAUCCAGCAAUGCCGCGUGAGUGAUGAAGGCCUUAGGGUUGUAAAGCUCUUUUACCCGGGAUGAUAAUGACAGUACCGGGAGAAUAAGCCCCGGCUAACUCCGUG